rnacentral:lncRNA from 1 species
GGGCAUCAGAAUUUCAACAAUUCUUUAUUAAAUUAACUUUAUGACGUAUUAAAAAGUAACACUUUCGAGAAUGGGAAAAUGGAAGAAAAAGAACUCAAAAUUAUUUGGGGUUUGACAUUCAUGUUUCUCCAAAGCAUCGGGGACCAUAAAAGUGGGUUUACAGCCUCCCUCCCUGUGCCCCACUUCACCUGUGGGUUCUUCAAUAUAAUUCUAGAGUGUUGGCUGCAACAAUGUUCCUCAGUGGCAGUUUUCUCACUGACUAAUGUACUACCCAGCGAAGGAUCAAGUCAGCAUUGGUGGUGGGAAACACGUUACUAAGACAUAUGAACAGCUUUGGAAGAGGAAUGAAUAUGAGACCGCCCGCUUGAAAGUGUAGGAGUUCCACACGCCUAAAAUUCAGGGAGAGGUGUCCCCUGAGAUUGUCCUUAAGAAGACUGAGAUCUAAGGAGGGACAGUGAGGACACCACCAACAGGAAGUACAUGAUGUCAAUCUGUCUCACAUGUCCUUCAGGAUGUUUUAGUACGGACCUCAUGUUCGUGUUCUUCAGUGUCACAGAAGCAGUGAGGUGACAAACUACACGUCCCAGGGGGUGAUCAAGAGGGGUUAAGAGUGAGAAUUGAUUCAGACUUGGGUUCAAAUCCUGUCUCCACUCUUGGCCAUUUGACAUAGCAGAAGAAGAUUGGAGGAUGAAGGGAGAGAAGAAAGGCUAUCUGACUCAUGAGUAUUUUUAUCCAAGAGAUGUGGAACAGUACCUGAAAGGACUAUUUAAAUCAUUGGAUCAGACUAAGCUUCAAACUGGAUUGCACUUCUGGUUAAAUUUUCUCUGCUAAACGGAGAUUUUAACUCGAGUUGAUAUCUGUUAAUGCGACAAAAGGAAGGCAAGUGUUGCCCUGAUACAUGCUUCCUACUGAGUAAGGCAGGUCUGGACAUUUGGAAAGAAAUUGCAAGAUCCAUCCACGUUCUGAAGCAUGGAAAUGAUGUGUGAGUGGUGGGGUCUUCAUCAUUUAAGUAAGUAGUCGGAGUUAACUCGUCUGACUUUCACAUGGUAUUGAUCCUUUCUCUCUUGGGAAGAGCUGUGUGGAUUUUUGGUGGUUGUUAUUCUUGGGGCGGGGAGCCCGUGGAGGGAAGGAGAGGAUGAGUGGAAAUGAGACCAUAAAGACCGGAUAACUAAGUACUGCGCACAGGGACUGACGGGCGGGAUGAUACGCAGAUCUUUGUUCUCAACCGAAGUGCUUCAUCUAUAAUGGAGAUUACGGUAAAGACAAAAUGAAGUUGUCUAAAGGAAAAUGAUGUCUCAGGAGUCGUUAUAGUGGUUUGACCGCAAGUUAAUAAUGUGGCCAGCACUUAAUAGUGAACUGCAGGCCUACAUUAUCUUUGAACGGAUGCCACUCAUGAGCAAUCCAAACAGGUCAAUUACCAGCAAAUCUCUGAUGAUCUCAGUACAUCAAGGAAGAGCCGAGAAGAAUGCCCAGAUGCGCAGACACGUAAGAACUGAAACAGGGUACAAACCAAUUUACCGAAAUGGAACUUAACCCUCAGAGGAAUGAAACCAGCCUACUACAUAUUCAUUUCUAUCUUAUUAAUUAUUUAUGCAGGGUGUGAACCUGCCACUUGAAGCAAAUUUUACAAACCAGUAAGUG